rnacentral:rRNA from 1 species
UGAUGUGGUUUAAUUCGAUGCAACCGACGAAAACCUUACCCACCUUUGACAUGGCAGGAAUCCCGAAGAGAUUUGGGAGUGCUCGAAAGAGAACCUGCACACAGGUGCUGCAUGGCUGUCGUCAGCUCGUGUCGUGAGAUGUUGGGUUAAGUCCCGCAACGAGCGCAACCCUUGCCAUUAGUUGCUACAUUCAGUUGGGCACUCUAGCGAGACUGCCGGUAAUAAACCGGAGGAAGGUGGGGAUGACGUCAAGUCCUCAUGGCCCUUAUAGGUGGGGCUACACACGUCAUACAAUGGAUGGUACAAAGGGUCGCCAACCCGCGAGGGGGGAGGCCAAUCCCAUAAAGCCAUUCGUAGUCCGGAUCGCAGUCUGCAACUCGACUGCGUGAAGUCGGAAUCGCUAGUAAUCGUGGAUCAGCAUAUCACGGUGAAUACGUUCCCGGGUCUU